AGUUCUUUCUUCACCUCAGAUUCCUGGUCAUUCUUAUUGAAAUUUUCUCCUAAGUCAUCUUGUUCCAUACUUGGCUUUUCAGGAGUUCUAAGGAAUUGAUCAGCGUUAGUUAUCUGCUCCCUUACUGCAUGUAUUGAUUCCUUCAACUUCUCUAAUUUUUGUAGAAACAAUUUCUCAAAAUUUCCCAACUUCUACUUUAAUUCUUCUUCUUGUCUCCUUAAUCUUCUAUCAAGAAUUUCACUUUUGCCUAAAAGACUCUUUUCUUUCCAAGAUUGUGUUCCCAUGGUCUG
rnacentral:misc_RNA from 1 species